GGGUAGAGCUCAGUGGUAGAGUGAAUGCCUAGCAUGCAUGAGGUCCUGGGUUCAAUUCCCAGUACUUCCA
rnacentral:tRNA from 1 species